rnacentral:rRNA from 1 species
UAUAAAGUGGCGAACGGCUGAGUAACACGUGGGCAACCUGCCCUUUGCACUGGGAUAGCCUCGGGAAACCGAGGUUAAUACCGGAUACUCCAUAUUUGUCGCAUGGCGAAUAUGGGAAAGCUCCGGCGGCAAAGGAUGGGCCCGCGGCCUGUUAGCUAGUUGGUGGGGUAGUGGCCUACCAAGGCAAUGAUGGGUAGCCGGGUUGAGAGACCGACCGGCCAGAUUGGGACUGAGACACGGCCCAGACUCCUACGGGAGGCAGCGUG